CCACAUACAUCUUAAAAUCUAUGCCAACGCAUGGGCAAUAAUAUCGAUCCCAUGAAGCUGAGAGUAAACUCAUUUUGAAGCAACAGUCGACAAGAAAUAAAUCAACAGCCCUUUCAUUCUCUACUCCAAAAUUAUUUGACAUUUUCCAAAUGGACCAGUUCACAGACAACAAUAUUCGGCGCCGUUAAGGCCACACCAUUUUACUGUGGAGAGCAGCAGCAGUACUCGCCAUUGCCGCCCUUGCCCGGUGGAGGAUGCCCACAUCGCGUGUCAUGAUCAGGGUACCCCUGCUCCUUGCAAACUUGGUUGCACGCCUGAAUGUCGCAUGGCUUCCCUUCUUGCGAGGGGAAACAAAGGCUAUCUGCACAGUAAUAGCAGCAACAACAAUAAUAAUAAGCAAUAAAAUGAUGAGAACAAAUACUUUCACAAGGCCAAAAAUUUGCCAAAGAGGACCCAAGUAAAAAAAAAGAAAGACACAAGUAAAACCUUUUUCGCCCUGCACGAGAUAGGGUGAUGAUAAGAGCACGGCCAUUGCUAGGAUGGCUAUCAGGAAUAUAGCGAUGUUAUUGUUAUUUUUGAGAAGCGCCAUGAGAUGAGCGAUGGUGUGUUUCUUGUCGGUACUGUGGCUUGUGUUUAGAGCUGGAAUGC
rnacentral:lncRNA from 1 species